UUGACCAUUACCGGUCUGAGAAGUAGCUGCUGCAGUAGUGGCUAAGACUGCCUGAUCCAGAACAGUGCAUACGGAUAAAUCUGAGCUAAAGCCCCCUGGAGAUCAUGAAUCACAAUGGGCACUGUCGGUGCUUGGACAGGUGUUGCUGGAGCAUCUACAGCUGGAGGCGGGUCCUAAACCUAGGCAGCUAGUGGAUCUGCAGAUGCUACCCUCGUUGGUCUGCCUCGACCACGGCCUCUAGCGAGUGAUAAAGGUGGUCGUCCAUCACGUCCGGUAGCACGGGUUCUCACCAUCUGCGAGAUAAAAGAAUACAAAAAUUUAGUUCUCAGAUCAACAAAGUCGCACGACAAGAAUUUCAAGAAUGUGAAGUGUUUCCUAAAGGUUCUACAGCCCUUCGAGGAUCAAUACAGACGUCUCUAUACCAAUUCAUGAGACUCUUCUAAACCAGCUCAUGACUUGCGAAGCCUAGUAACCUAGGCUCUAAUACCAACUUGUCACGACCCCAAAUCUUGGUCGUGGCAGCCUCUCGAGGAUAAAUAUAGACGUCUCCGUACUGAUCUGCGAGUCUCUACGAAACCGGCUCAUAACUCGCAAAGCCUAGUAACCUAGGCUCUGAUACAAACUUGUCACAACACCAAUCCCGCUCGUGAUAGCAUCCAACAUAAUUUUCUAGGAAAGCCCGACCAUUUCAUCACUCACAACCCAAGUAUGAAAGUCAUUGACAGUUACUGAGUUAUUAUAACAGUUAACAAGAUUUUAUAAUUUCGGUAGUAGAUAGAAUAAAGCAGAAAACCAUAGUAAAACCAAUUUAACUCCCAAAAGAUCCGGGGUCACGAGUUUAGAGCCUCUAAAUACAUACGAAUAAAAAAUCCUCAAAAUACAUAAGUCUAAGAUGUGAAAAUAUAAAUGGAUAAGGGGGACAAUUCGGUUCCCGCGGACGUCAAGCAGCUACCUCAACAACUCUGAAGUAACUCUAAAGAUAGCAAACCGCUCAACUAAGCUCAUGUCGCACCUCAAUCUAGGGGUGUGCAAUCGAUUUAUCGAUUCGAUUUUGACCCUUUUCGAUAAUUACUUAUCGAUUUACGAUUUGUACAUAUGCUUAUCGUUAUCGUUUCAAUAAGGUUUCGAUUUUUUCGAUUUCGAUUUAUUGAUUUUGGGGGCUUAUCGAUUCGAUUUAUCGAUUUUCAAUAAGGCAGAUUAUACUGGUCAGUAGUAGUAGUUGCCCAACCGAGAUUCACAUUCAAAUUCAGUGAAGUUUGAUUCCUAUUUAAUCUUCACUGCCCCCAAACCCCACNNNNNNNNNNNNNNNNNNNNNNNNNNNNNNNNNNNNNNNNNNNNNNNNNNNNNNNNNNNNNNNNNNNNNNNNNNNNNNNNNNNNNNNNNNNNNNNNNNNNNNNNNNNNNNNNNNNNNNNNNNNNNNNNNNAAGUACCUUUCCAGGUUCGGGAGUGAAUUUUAGUGUAACUGCUGCCCAAUCGGAUAACUCUUCCUCCUUGCCAGCAUUAGUAGAUCCAUUGGCUUUAGCAAAAAGUCCAGACUUAAACUUCUCCAGUUUUGCCAGCACCUAACAGACAUACAAAAAUAAUGAGCAAACUGCAGAAACGCAUAGAAUAGAAAAAGCUGCCAGCAAGAACACAUACCCAUUUCAUAUAAGUCCAAACUUAAAUCAGCCUGAAUCCAUAGUUAAUGUCUUUUAACUAUUACCGAGAAAACUCAACAAAAAAUUGAAUGCACACCCCUAAUAAACUCAAUAAAAUUGACUUAGGAAAAUAAAUGAUCAACAGGACAAUCCAUUCGAGUAGAAAACGCAUAUUUUUCUAUCAUCAGGAGGAAGCAAAAUGAGAAUAUUCAAAUUAACACAAAGUCAUUCGUUCAGUUUGGACUUUGGAAGGCAGCCACCUCAUAUGUAAUGCUACCACGAAAUAUAUGGUUGUGCUUAAACCACUUGCAACUCGAUUUCAUUAGUACGACCCUCCUCUUUCUUCCCUUUUUAUCCCUUUUCAUCUCCCUGAUCAUAUCCCAAGGGAAAAGGAAAAAUAGCAUGUUUACAACCUGUAUCUUGUGAUGCCAUAGAGAUCAGAAGGUUCAGGAACAAAAAAGGGCAAAAGAACCCCAUGCACUAUAUAAAUCACUAUAUGCCACAGGGUGAUAUAGCCUCUGAAUCACUCAAAUUGUUACCUACACUGAGUGAGAUAUACAUCUUAGAUCAGUUCUGAGUUCACAAAGAGAAACUCAAAGUUUUUUUUUUAACAGGUAAAGAUGUAAUUCUAUUAAAAUCAGAAAGCUGGCACUAAGAUGGUGCCAGGGAAUUACAAUGUUUGGAACCUUCCUCAGCAAAAACAAAAAAGAGAAUGUUCCACCUAUUACAUAUUCCUGUAGUGAGGAAUGUAGAGUGGAGCAAGCUACUUCUUUUAUUUAUAUCCUGAAUAUUAGCCCAAAAUGUCAAAAGCCAUAAGAGAAAUUCUAAGUUUUAUGUUAUUCGAGAAUGGGAUCUAUAGAAAACAAUUCCUUCAUACACUAAGCAGACAAGUUGUGAAUACAAAUAUUAUGCCAACACGUAUAUCAACCACUGCUUCUAUAUAUAACAUCCUUACUGCCCACCAAUUAGGAUCUUUGAAAAUCAAGCUUUGCAAUCACAUUCAACAAUGGUAUCUCAUACACAUUAUAUCAUUUGAAAAAGGCCUAGUAGUAUGGGUGCUGCAUAAUCAGUAUUGGAUUUCCUUACACUUAGCAUCAAGAUCAUACAGUACCAAAAGGAGAACCGUCAAUUAAAUGAGCUACAUCCUAACACCAGCAUUCAAUUUUCGCAUUAAAUUUGAAGGCUCAUAAGUACGAACGUCUUAAGUCAUUUGAAAAAUAGAUACAAUUAAUUAAAUACAUUUUACAUUUCAAUCAAGCAGAGCUAGUUCUUCGUUAGUACCUUAUAAUAUGCUUGUUCACAGGCCUCUUUGUCUUCAAACUCUGCCAAAAUAGAAGUUAUACAAUCAAUACAAAAGGAAACACAAAGGAAAGAAAGCAUUCACUUGCACUAUGAUUAAUUGGGGUUAAAAGAAGAAAGGAAGAAAACAACAUAGCUAAACACUAUCCAGUUUAGCAGUUACGCAAACCGAUAAAGGGAAACAAAAGUGAAGAGUUAUACCCCAACAUUCCGUUGUUUUUCUUUUGAUGAGCAGCAAAGGUAUUGCUAUUGUAGCACGCCUAGACUUGCUGGAAAGCAUGGGUAACUCGCAUCACUUCCUUAGAGUUUAAGAUUAUGGAGAAAAACACAUUACCGGGUGAAGAACCAGCAAGAAGGUGCACAUAUUUCUGUUAAGCUUUAAUACCUCACAAUUUUUUAAUGGAAUCUUAAACUUACCAAUGAAAGCAUAGCAGAGACUAUCCCCAGUCUUGAAGUCCCUAAUGAUUUCAGCACUGAGGAGAACAAGCAAUAAGAGAUGAGAGAAAUUUAAACACAUAUUGGCACUAAACGAAGAAUAAAUAGCAUGUAAAAUAUUCAAAAUAUGAUAACAAACUUACGAUGUCACGGUUCCAAAGCGUGAGAAGAUUGUAUGCAGGUCUUCAUCCUGCAUGGAAAAAUAUUGUCUGACAGUACCAGAAAGAAAGAUGGCAUGGCCAAAAUCGAAAUCGAAUCGAUAAACCGAGGAAAAUUUUUGAAAUCGAAAUCGAAUCGAUAAAUCGAUAAACCGAUAACAAAAUAAUCGAUUCGAUUUAUCGAUAAACCGAUUUGAAUGCACACCCCUACCUCAAUCUGCACACAUGGUGCAUGGAGUACUUCCAACUCAAUGAGUAAUAAGUAUAUAUAGUAACUGAAGAUGAGAAUCCACGAAAAUACCACAAUGUAAAGCUAUAACUAACAGUUUAGCAUAAUUACGGUGAAAUGACAACAAUCAGAAUCAGAUAGAUCAGAUAAACAUCAAAGCAUGAAUGCAAUGUAAUGGACAUGACCACUACGGCGUGCAACCCAAUCUAUUUGGGUACCCGCGCUUAUUAAGGGGGUUCAAACUCCGGAGCGGCUCCUACAACCCAAGCGCAAUAUCAUCGUAACAUCACUGCGGCGUGCAGCCCGAGCAACAUUCAGUCCAGAAUAUGCAUGUGAGUUAUACAGCAGUUCCAAUUAUUAGGAAAAUUAUCGUUUGAGUCUUUAAAACGUUAGGAAGGUGACUAAGUAUUUUGAAACAGUGUUUAAAACAGAGGACUGAAAUCAUAUAUCAUGCUAAUCAUCAUGGAAGCAGUGAUAAUAAUCCCAAUAGAUUCAAAUAGUCAUCACACAGCCCAAAUAUAUCAUAACAAUCCAAGUAGGACGUUUACUAACCAGUCUAUAGACUAAAGCACAACUUGGACACCACUCGGGGCGGACUAAGCCAAAAUCCUCAAUCACAAACGACUCCCCACUCGUCAUGAAGUGUGUGUCUCGCCUCAAUAUAGUGUCACAGUGUGAUAAACCGGGGAUUCAAACUCUCAGGUCAUCAUCUACAUCUAUUACUCACCUCUAGCCGGUCGAAGACUAGCUCGCAAUGCCCUUUCCUCUCGAAUCGGCCUCCUCGCGCAUCUAAUCUGGCCAAAAUCACAACGAAGACGUUACAAUAUGCCAAAGAAACAUAACCCAAUCGAAAAUACUCGAAAAACACCAAAAACCAAAAAGUAGGCAAAAUCCGAGCCCCGGACUCACUUCUCGAAAUCCAAAAAAUUUUACAUCAAUAAUCCUUAUCUUCCACGAGUCCAAACAUAUCAAAUUUACCAAAAUCGGAGUUCAAAUGCCCUUUCAAAUCCUAAAUUUUUAUUUUAAAAACCAAGCCCUAAUUUUUCAAUUUUUCACCCAAUUUUCCAAGAAUGAAACGUUGGUUCUUCACUAAAAUAGCGUUUCUAGGUCACGAGACUUGCUUCCAAUCAAUUCCCGUAAAAGCCCUCUUCAAUUUCUACCAAAGAGCUCUCAAGGUGGUCAACAGUAUGAAUGGGCUCGCGGAUGAAAUAAUAUAAAAAUCCCUCUGGACACCCAGAUUUUCUUCUAUGUGAACGCGAGACAACUCUUGCGUUCGCGAUGCAUAACUUUUCCUCUGACCAAAAUUGCCCAUCGUGAAUGCGUCUGCUCCCGUAAGAAUGUGACGACUUGGGCCCCAGACCUACGCGAACGCGACUGCAUAAACGCGAAGCACACAUAGGCUGGUCCUCUACUUUCCUCUACGCGAACAUGAUGCUCUCAAAUGCGAACACCAGGAACUCAACCUACGUGAACGUAUGGCCCCAACGCGAACGCGAUAAACACUUUCCGGGCCUGCGUACCUUGCCCUAUGCAUUCGCGACACACACACGCGAACGCGAAGAAAGGACUUUCUGCAACACCACAGCCAGAAAAACCAGCAUUUUCUCAAGUUCAAAAUGUUCCGUUUAGUCCCCGAAAUUAUCCCGAGGCCCCCGGAACCUUAACCAAAAGCAGCAACAUAACCUAAAACAUCAUACGAAAUUAUUCCAAACAUCAAAACACGUCAAACAAUACUAAAAUCAUCAAUUCACAUCGCAUUCAAGCCUAAGUUUCUUCAAAACUUGUGAAAUGCACUUAUGAUCAAAAAUCCGACCUAAUCAUCUCUAAAUGAACUGAAACUUUGCACACAUAUCCAAAAUCACCUAACGGAGCUACUGCAACACUCUAAAUUUUAUUCCGACCCUCGGAUCAAAAUCUCACCUACCAACCGAAAUUCGCCAAAAUCCUAACUUCGCCAUUUCAAGCCUAAUUCUACACCGGACCUCCAAAUUCAAUUCUGAUCGCACUCCUAAGUCACAAAUCAUCCCUCGAAUCUAACCAAAUCACCAGAAUUCACAUCCGAGCCCUCUAACUAAAUAAUCAACUUCCAGUUGACUCUUCCAAAACAAGCUUUCCUUUAAGAGACUAAGUGUCUCAUUACCAUCUAAAACCAAUCCAAUUCUACUCUAUUACCUCAAAUACCGAUAAUGAAGCAUAGAGAAACAUAAUAUGAGGGAAACGGGACGGUAACUCACAUGACGACGGGUUGGGUCAUUAAUACAUGUGUCUUAAACUAACUCAAUAUAGUAAUUAGUUAUUCUCUGAUUGCGAUAAGGUAGAUAAAUAUUCUAUUACUAUAUUAAAAAAGUUUCAAGAAUAAGCAUAGAAGAAGAAUUAUAGCAUUCCAAAAAAGUGCCAAUUGGCUAAUUAAUGUCGAUGUGUUACAUUGUUUAAAUCAAGUUAUAAUUUUACAUAUUCAAGGCAAAUCAGCACGAACCAUUUUAAAUAAAUUAUAAAUCUUUCAACAAUACUAAAAGACAAAAAGAAGAAAAGGAAGGGCAUACCUGAUACACUAAUAGAAGCGAGUCUCAACAGCUGAAUUCACGAUCCCUGGUAAAUAAGCAAAAGUAGAUAACUUUAUAGGCAAAAUUAGUCAAUGAUUAGAACGGAAGAAAAGGUACAAAGUUGCAAUAAGAUCCUUAAACCACAAUCUUAGUAAUAAUAACAAUACUAAACUUCUAUUACUAAUUCUAUUUGAAUACUUAAUAUACUGCCAUUACACCUUAAUGUGAUACUUCCCAUCCUUAUUAUAGCACUUUUUUUGUAUAUAACUGCCUGACUCAAUUAGCUUUUUAUCCUUCUAAUUCUAUGCAUCUCUAUUGUCAAAAAGUUUGGAAGCUUUAGCAAUUCCAUCACCCAUAUAUUAGACAACAAGAGCAUGCAUAAGAAUUCUAAUAGAAAACCUGAUUGAAGAAUUUUGUUAAGUACCUAGAGAACAAAAUUUAUUAACAUUAACACUUUCUCUGCAGGAAUCACCUGACUAUUCGGAGGAAAGCGCAAAUACCUAGCAUAUCGUCAAGGACUUAAAUAAACCAAUACAAGAAGCACAAAUAUAACAAAGAAGAUGUGAUCUCACCCUUAAAAUGGGAGAGAAAGUAAAAAAUCUACAGACGGCUUCCAAAGAAAUAAAGUAGAGGAUAAAUGGCAGCAUAAGCAAAACAAAUAAGGCACUAAUUGUGAGUAGUAACUGAAAAAGGCAUAAAGAAACACAAGAAAAUAAUUUGAAUUAAUUUUCAAAAUAUGAGGUAAGAUCAGAAAUGUAAUUCCUGUUGAUGUUUCUUUCAAUAUCUUAGAUGGAGGCGAGAAACGGAAGCUUUUAGAUCUGGCUUCAAUCAGGUUUGCUGCUGUCGUAAGCCUUAUAGCGUGAGGAUAUUUUUUUCUGGAGAAUUUAAACGACUAAGCUUUUAGUUCCUCUUGCAUACGGAUUCUGAAGACCCAGUGGAAAAUAACAGUGGAGGGAGGGGAGGAAUGAGAGAAGAGGAAUAGAAAAAGGAAUAGCAGAAGCAACAAUUACAUGCGAAGUUUGAGUCAGAAUGUGAUAACAUUAAAAUCUAUUAGGACGUAUUUGUUAGCUUAACACAUAAUUUAAAUUGCAAAGAACUUGUUAAGUCUUUAAAUUUUAGCUACAAUGAAAUUUAUUGUAGUUGCUUUAUCUUUCUUAUGAAUCAAAUGUCUGAGAAGACGUGAUUUAAAGUGUGCUGCAGAAGCAUAGUGCUUAACAUCAUUGUCACUGAACCUUAACUUUAACUAUGCACAAGUGAUCACCAACAAAAUCUUUGUUCCUAUACAUCAUAUAACUUUAACUAUGCAUAAAGAUCACCAUUCACCAACAAAAUCUUUGUUCCUAUACAUCAUAGAACUGCUUGAAAUUUCUCUCUGCGUGUCAAGCCAGCUACUAAACAACUUCGGUUUUCUUCAUUUGCUUGCUCGUGUUAGAGCAGAUAGGCUUUUGUUGAAUUUUGCACAUUCUUAUGUAAGAAUGAAACAAAAAUAAAGGAGCAUUAGCGUUACUAUGUUUUAAGCAGGAAAACUUGAAACUUCUUAGUAAUUUGAACAAAGGCUGAAAUAGAACAAUGAGUAAUAUUGUGGAUCCACAGCGUCAAUUCAAUAAGCGUAACAUAAUGCCAAAAAGAAAGGAUCUUUUUCUAUGUGAUUUUGGGUGCAAUUAAUAUCGUCCACUGUUGUGACAAAACUGACGUAUUUAAAUUAUAUACUGAAAUCCAAAACACAAUCAACAGAAAACUAAAAUAAAAAAACAAACAAACCAAUAUAUGAAUUGCCCAAAUAAAAGAGUAGCAAGCAGAUGAAAAAGAACCGUUUCUGAAGAUUUCAGGACUCUGAAAGAAUUAAAAAAGCAAGGCUUAUGGUGUGUGAACACAAUCUCAUGCUUUCUAUAUCUUCUCUAAAACUUUGAAAUUCACUCUUACCUAUCAAGAAAAAGGUUUUUCUGGUCCAUCUCUUUAGUUAAGCCAAAGCUGAUACAUUCACUAUUAUCUUUUUAAGUUCGAUUGUUAUUUUAGCAAUUUACUCGUCACAAUCUCAUUUUAUAUUAAGUCAAAAUGUCAACCUAAUUAUUAAUACUAAAUAACGACAUAGAAAAAUUAGUUCACAUUUAGAAGGUACAAUCAACAAAGAAGUACAAAAAGAAUUCUAUUGUUAGAGAAUGCUUCAAUUUUUAACUUACCCCUUUUUGAGCUUCUUCAAAUCAUUAUCCAUAAAAUAAGGUACCACGAGAUCUCUAUUUCAACGGAAAAGCAAACUUCUAAAAGGCAAGACAUGUAGAAGCAUUUUUCUUUCGCUAAUCUUUUUUCUUCUUUUCCAAUUCAUACUGAAUCAAAACCAAGAAAUAACCUUUUUCUUGAUCAACUUAGCAUAAACUUCAGCCAUUUCCCCACGGGAUACCUCAGGCAGUAAAGAAGUACAUGAAAGCCCUAACUCAAAAUACAACUAAAGAAUGAAACCAAGGAAAACAAUAGACAGGAACAUGUAUAACAAAUCUAGUAGAGAUCCUGAGUGAAGAAUUUUGUCAAACGCCUUGAGAACAAAAUUUAUCAACAUAUUUCACUUUGCCUGAAUGAAUCCCCUCGCUAUUCAGGGAAAACACAAAUACCUAUCAUAUUAUCAAGUAUUGAAACAAAACCAAUACAAAAAACACAAGAUGAGAAGAAGAUUACCCAGUAGAAAAUUCCAAUAGAUCAGGGGGGAGGAGCAAGAGAGCGCAGAUAUGAAGCAAAGGGGCAUUUCAAGGAAAGGACUUUGCAGAUAAAGCUUGAAAAGUGUCGGAUAUAGCAAGAGAAAUCAAACGGCGAGUUGAUAGCUAUUAAAAUUCGACUACACGUGUUGCACUGCAAAUAUAGCCGUGAAAUAAUUUUGGGCCAGGCACACAUGUUCACCAUUAGCUGCCUAUUUAUUCUCAUUUAUAGGAUAGGAAUAAACCUGAGGGGUUGUUGUGAUUGUGAGUUCGAGUUUCCCAAGAGUAAUAUGGGAAAUUUUUGGAGGGAAGGAUGACGAGGGUCUAUUUGAAAACACCCUCUCUACCCAAGGGUAUGGAUAAGGUCUGCGUACAUACUAUUCUCAAUAGACCUCCACUAACCUCCACUAAGUGAUGUUAUACUGGAUUGUUAUUGUUGUUAUGUAUAGUAGUAGAAGUAAAAUUCAGAUUUUACCUCUCUUGCCAAUAUGAGAAUUAAUUCAAACCUAUUAUAAAAUAAAGACUAUAAAGUAAAGACAAGUAUAGAGAGAAACUAAUAUGUUAUUCGACUUCAAACUUAUGUACAUAAUGAACUAAAAUCUCCUCAAUUUAUAGAAGAAAAAAAGCUGCUAUUGCAAGCGGCUACUGUACCAGAUAUAGAUAAUCUUCUACCGAGAGUAAUGUUUAUCCAUAACGGAGUACCGAAAGUAUAAGCUCAUUGUACCAGGUAUGGAUAAUCUUCUACCGAAAGUAAUGUUUAUCCACAACGGAGUACCGAAAUAAUAAGCUUAUUGUACUAGGUAUGAAUAAUCUUCUACUGGUAGAUGUUUAUCUAACAAUGGAGUACUGAAAGUAUAAGCCUAUUGUACUAGGUAUGGAUAAUCUUUCACUGAGGGUAUUGUUUAUCCAUAACGGAGUAUCGAAAGGAUAAACUUCUUCAGGAGGCUUAUUUCCAAUAGAGUACUAAAUAGAUAAACAUAUUUAUGGCGGAGUCCCAUAUGGAUAAGCUUCUUUGGGAAGCUUAUUUUGAACGGAGUACCAGAUAAAUAUCCAUAAUAUAAUAUAUUUAUAACACUCCCUCUUGGAUGUUUAAGCGAUAAUGUACUUCAUUAAAACCUUACUAGGAAAAACCUAGGGGAAAAAAUCCUAGUGAAGGAAAAUUGGGUUCACAUUUUUAAUAAUAAACAUUGCUAGGUGCCUCACUAAAACUUUAAAAGGAAAACUCUGUGGGAAAAAACCUUAGUAAGGAAAAAAGAGUGCAUCAUGUAUUUUACUCCCCCUGAUGAAAACCUUGUUUCAAAUAUUUGAAUCUCCGCAUUCCAGUCUUAUAUACCAUUUUUUCAAAUGUUGAAGUUAGCAAAGAUUUAGUCAAUAAAUUGGAUUAUCACUUAAACGAAUUUGCUGCACACCAAUGUCACCAUUUUUCUAAAGAUCAUAUGAGUAGAAUAAUUUUGGUAAAAUGUGAUUCAUUCUAUCUUCUUUGAUAAAUCCUCCCUUCAAUUGGGCUAUGCAUGCAGAAUUGUCUUCUUAUUAAAUUAUGAGUCUUUUUUCACAUUCCAAACCAUAUUUUUCUCGAAUAAAAUGAAUUAUUGAUCUCAACCAUAUACAUUCCUUACUUGCUUCAUGAAUAGCUAUUAUCUCGGCAUGAUUUGAAGAAGUAGCAACAAUAGAUUGCUUUGUGGAGCGUCAUGAUAUGACAGUACCUCCAUAUGCAAACACGCACCGGUAUGAGAUUGAGAUUUAUGGGGAUCAAAUAAAUAACUUUCAUCCAUAUAACCAACAAAAUUUGCACUAUUUUUCUUAGUAUAAAAUAAAUCCAUAUCAAGAGUUCUCUUAAAUAUCACAAUAUAUGUUUAAUCUCGUUUCAAUAUGUCCGUGUAGGAGAAGAACUAUAUCUUGCUAGUAAAUUAACAGAAAAUGUUAUGCCAGGCCUUGUAGCAUUACCAAGAUACUUUAGUGCACCAAUUGCACUGAGAUAGGGUACUUCAGGAUUAAGGAGUUCCUUAUCCUCUUCUGGAGGUCAGAACAAAUCUUUAUUCACUUCAAGUGAUCGAACAAGCAUUUGUGUACUCAAUGGAUGCGCUUUGUCCAUGUAAAAGCAUUUUAAGAGUCUUUUCUGUUGUCACGACCCAAACUGGAGGGCCAUGACUAGCACCCAACCAUACUUACCGAGCAUCAACGUACAUUUUAUCUAACCUUCUUUAUUAUAUUUUAUGGCUGACGAAAUCAAUAUAAAUGGUAGACAUGGAUUAUGGAAAACCAACUACAAAAUAUGAAGGUAUAAACAUACAUAACAUGGGAUGGCCAGACAAUCAAGAAACUAUAUAUAAGGUAUGAGUUACCACAUUACCAUGAAAGACUAUAGAACAGUAACCAGCCGACAAGGCCGACCAAACUAUACAUGAGUUGACACUUGUAUAUGAGCCUCUAAAGGAACAUAAGUGUUGCAACAUAGCCAGAAUAGGGCCCCGACAUACCCAUAAUGUCUAUAACAAAAAUGCAUACCAAGAUUACAGCAAGUUCGGAGAAUGGAUCUCGCCAAUCACCGCUGAAGUGGACAACCUACUGUGGUGGGGGAGUUGCACAUGCCUGUCUAUUAGGACCUGCAGCACGACAUGCAGCAUCCACAAAUGAAAGGACGUCAGUAUGAAUAAAGUACUGAGUAUGUAAGGAAGAGAACCAUAAAUACGAACAGUAAUAUAAGCAGGGAUAGAGAAUAUACAUCCUGUAACAUCUGAGUACCUCUGAGGGUUACUGACAUGAAAUGUAUGAUGCAUAUGUAUAAAUACAUAAAACUUUUAAAACAUACGCUUCUGCGGGAAUCAUCAUUUUCAUAUCGAACUGACCGUAAUAGGCUCGGUAAAAAAUAUGCCCGACCAUCAUAUGUCUUGGUAGUAUCAUACCUGGCUAUGCGGAGCUCGGUAAAACACAAUUGAUCAGUGGUUGCACAAUAAAUGUCGUACCCGGCCGACUAUAGUGCAGCUCGGUAGAGUAAAAUAGAUACAUAUACAUAAUGCAUUCUCGACUCAUGGAUCAUAUUCUAAACCUUUUGAAGUGAUGUAAGGUCGAUAUCCUCUGUACACGUUAUUAGGACUAACUCUUCACUGUGAACCUUAUAAGAAUCAGGAAGUACCAACAACAUUGAUAACAUAAGAAUAAAAGAAGCAACAUUAACAUUAAUCGUUUCAUAAGAGGGGAAACAAUGUAAGUACUGCUAGCUUCUAAGAGUAGAGUAUCUUUGAAAGCUCAUUUAUUACAUUAUGUACAAAUGGAGUCGUGCAAAAGAAGGAAAGGGAUAGCCUCACAUACCUUGUAAAUACUGCCCCAAUCUCAAGCUAUGCAAUUGUCACGACUCCUUAGUCUACAAUAAGAGAAAUAAUACUAUCAUUAUCAUUCAAGCAUCAUUACUAUUAUGUAUCGUCCACAACCUAUUUUACGAUGAAAUAAUUGAGUUUAUAAUCCCUUACAAUUCCUCUCUUGGCCGACUUUGGGACUUUUAGUUUUGUCCUCUCAUUUUGGCAAGUAGGUGAUACACCUACUUGUCACCUACCAAUCUGCAGGCUUGCGAAAAUAUAAAUACCUCUAUACUUCGAGAUUGUAUUGGUAAACGGUUUAAUGCGUUGAAAACUACACUCCUAGAUCUUUAAUUUAGUGGGUAUAUCACCUUGUAAUUCCUUGUUAAUUAGGAGAAACGGUUAGAACUAUUUUACCUAAUAUUUAGGUAAAAUUAUGAACCUAAGUUGCGACAACUUUUGUCGACUUUUGUCUCAUAACUCGUUUGAGUUCAAGACUUAUGAUACGGAUAUUAUAUGAUUAAAUACCUUAAAUCACUACCUCAUGAGUUUAUUAAGCACCUCUAGGUUUACCCAAAAAUACGGCUGACAAUAUCCUUGUUUCGCUUAACUUCUAAUACUUGUUAACCGUUGUUAUACACCCUUGUAUCAUUUAAGACUAAUAUGAUUAACUUCUUAUCAUCUUAAAGAUAAUAUCUUCAUGGAUUUACAUUGACUACCUUAUGUCAUGAGCUAACAUACGUGAAUAUAAGUUGUAACAUCUGCAUUGGCAGAUUGAUAGAUAAAGAUCUUGUCUGCUAAAUGUUCAAUUUGUAGACCAAGACAAUAUUUUGUCUUUCCUAGAUCUUUUAUCUCAAAUUCUUUCUUAAGAUAUUCAAUUGCCUUUUGGAGCUCUUCUGGAGUUCCAACAAGAUUUAUGUCAUCAACAUAUACUGCAAUUUAAACAAAUUCUGAUGUCAUUUUCUUUAUAGAAAUACAUGGACACAUAACAUCAUUUAUGUAACCCUCUUCCAACAAAUAUUCACUAAGACGAUUAUACCACAUGCGCCCAGAUUGCUUUAAACCGUACAAUGAUCUUUGUCAUUGAUUGAAUUCAUUUCUUGAGAUUUUGAAUUUUUUUCAGGGACUUUCAUAUAUAUUUCUUUAUCAAGUGAACCGUAAAGAUAAGUUGUAAUUGCAUCCAUUAGAUGUAAUUCAAGCUUUUCAUAUAAUGCUAAACUGAUGAGAUAUCGAAAUGUUAUAUCAUCCAUAACAGGUGAAUAUGUUUCAACAAAAUCGACUCCAUGUCGUUGUGAGAAUCCUUGUUCAACAAGGCGAGCUUUGUAUCUUUCAACUUUAUUUUUAUCAUUCCUUUUUUCACACAAAAUCCCAUUUAUGACCAACUAGAUUUAUACCAGAAGGUGGUUGGACUACUGAUCCAAAGACCUCUCUUUUAGCAAGUGACUUCAAUUUCGAUUAAAUUGCCUCUUGCCAUUUUGGCCAAUCAGAUCGUUAUCGACAUUCUUCGACAGAUCGGGAUUCAAGAUCCUUACUAUCUUGCAUAAUAUUAAGUGCAAUAUUAUAUGCAAAAAUAUUAUCCACCACUACUUCAAAUCGAUUUAAAUUAAUCCAAUUACUGGUAGAACAAAUUAAAAGUUCCUCACUCACUUGAGCUUUAGGUUCAUUGAUUUGUUAAGGAAUCUCAGAACUAAUCAGAUCUUGGGUUUCUUCAGGAGAUCCCUUCGUGCAUUGUUUUGAUCAUUUGUCGAUUUUUUUUCAAGAAUUUUGAUCGUUAGAACCCAAAGGCCUACCACGCUUCGGACGUGCUUUAGGUUUACUAGCUCUCAUACUAGUAGAUGGCCUUACUGGGACAUCAAUUCGGAUAGGCACGUUCUCUGCAGGGAUAUGUAACUUAGUUAUCCUUUUCAAAUCAGUAAAUGUGUCUAUCAUUUGAUUUGCUAUAUUCUGUAAAUGGAUAAUAUUCUAAACGUGUUUCUAAAUAAUUUUAACUAUUUCACUUUCAACUAGAUGUAAUUUGCAUACUCCCUCAUUCGAAGUCAACAAGGUUUUUGAAAUUCUUGUUUUUUCAAUACUUUCAUUAUUUUAGAAAUAUUCUAGUAAGCUUUCAAUACUUUUAUUCUUUAAAGACAUCAUUUUUACAUUUUGGGACAAUCUUUAGGCAUGAGCUUGUUCAAAGAAUCACUUUAAUAUUUGUGAUUGACAACAAAAUCACGGUCACAUGUACAACUUUGUAACUUAUUUUAAUCAACCGUAUAUACACAAAUAAGACCUUUUUUAUGUACAUAAAUAAAUGUGUUCACAUAUUUUUUUUCCGACCAUAAACCCCUUUACAAAAGAUAAUUCGUUAAUACAUAAUUUCUUUGACAUAAUUGAAGCUCUUUCCACCAGUAUUUUCUAAGCUAAUUAUAACGACUCGGCUAGUCGUCUCAUGAGUUACCGCUUUGUUUCUCUCAUUCCUGCUUCUUAUGCUUUGUUAUUUGUAUUAUGUGGUAUCGGAUUAGUCGAAUCGAAUCCGAAAUAAUUUGGUAUGGUUUGAGAUACUUAGUCUCUUUGGAGUGAGUUUAGGUUGGAAAAGUCAAUCAGUUGUUGAGUUGUAAGUUAGAGGGCUCAUAUGUGAUUUCUCAUGGUUCGGUUAGCUUCGGAAAUGAUUUUGGACUUAGGAGUGUGAUCCGAAUGAGUUUUGGAGGUUCGGAGUAGAUUUAGGCUUGAAUUGGCGAAGUUGAUAUUUUGGCGAUUUUCGGUUGAUAGGUGAGAUUUUGAUAUAGGGGUCGGAAUCGAAUUCUGACAGUUGAAAUAGUUCUGCUGUAUCAUUUGGAAUGUCCGUGCAAAAUUUCAGAUUAUUCAGACAUGGUUUGGUUGGGUUUUUGAUCAACAUUAGGAAGAUAUUAGAAACUUUUGGCUUGAUCUGAUGUGUUUUGGUGGAUUUGAUGUUGUUUGAGGUGUUUUGAAGAUUGGUGCGAAUUUGAAUAAGGUUAUGGGAGAGGUUGGUGCUUUUGGUUGAGGUCCCAGGGGCCUCGGGUGAGUUUCGGGUGGUCAAUCAGGCCAUUAUAUGAAGUUUUGAGUUGCAGAUUUGGAGGUUCAGCUGUUGCAGAGAUUCCUCUUUGCGAUGGCGUAGGGAUAUCGCGAUCAGGUAGAAGCUUAUAAGAGGGAAACCUAGUUUUUUCUUUGCGUUCGCGAAGGUGGAAUUGCGAUCGCAUAAGAUGGAGAAGUUGUUGAUCGUGAACACAUAGUGAGGGUCGCGUUCGCGUAGAGUUAAGUGGACCAGGGGUUUUGGCUUUAAGUUUGUUCUUCACGUACAUUGUAGCUUGUCUGCAAUCGCGUAGUGUAAGAGGUUUGAGUAUCGCAUUCUAUUGGAAUUUUAUGCGAUCUCAUAGGGUUAAUUUUGGGUGCUGAGAAUUUGUGCUUCGCAAUCGCGAUGAAGGAUAUCAGGCCUUGGCAGAAGGUUUAAAUAGUCGUCUUGUCCGAGAUUUUGGUGUUUAUUUCUUCCAUUGUUGGAUGUUUUUGGAGCAUUUUGAAGAGGAUUGAAGAGGGAUUCACUUGGAGGUAAGGUUCUUGGACUUAAGACUCGAUUCUAAUAUGAAUUCCACCAAAAUAAUCAUGGAAAUGAAGCCAAAAAUUGAAGAACUAGGACUUGGAAACAUACACCUUUGAUUGAGAAUUUGAAGGACCAUUUGAGGUCGGAUUUUAGAACUUUUGAUGUGCAUGAACUCAUGGGGCAAUAAAGAAUCCAUUUAUGUUAAAAUUAUUGAAUUCCGAGAUGUGGGCCUAGGGGUCAGGUUUUGGUAAUUUCGGGAUUUGUGUCUUAUUUUGAUUAUUUUCACUUGGGCUUCAUUCCUUUAGCAUAUUUUGACGUCCUAAUUUUGAUUUUGGAUAGAUUUGAUGUGAGUGGAGGCCAAUUCAAGAGUCAAAGGCAUCGUGAGCUAGAGAUUUGACCGGUUCGAGGUGAGUAAUGAUUGUAAAUUAUGUUCUGAGGGGAUGAAAACCUGGAUUCGCACAUCGUUGUGCUAUAUUGAGGUGAAGCAUACACUUGAUGAUGAGCAUGGGAUCGUCCACUAUUGGGGAUUGUGACUUAGUCUAUGCCGAAUGACUAUUUUACCGCAUACUUGACUGAAAUCUAUUUGCUAUCAUAAUUAUUUGGGCUUAAUUCCAUAUUUGGGCCGCCUGCCAACUAUUUGAACCCUUCGAGGAUUUAUAUUGAUAUUUUCUCACUAUUUUAACUUUAUACUUGAACUCAGUCAUGUUAUUUUCUACUAUUUUUCAUACUCAGCCAUGUUCAAUAAGUUCUAUUAAUUAUAUGAUCUUUUAAAUGAUAGUUGCUCUGAGAAAUCCCGUUUUACUACUUCCGAGUGGCUUGUGAGGACCUUUGACCGAGUAAGGCCGAGGGCCUAUUUUGUGAGGAAACUUUGUUCAUGAUUUGAGGCCGAGGGCUUGAGAUAUGUAUGCCAAGACAUGGCUUGAUUGAUAUGAGGCCGAGAGCCUAGUGAUAUACACCACGAUAUUGCUUGAUAUUGCGCUUGGGCUGUAAGGGGCCUGUCUAGGAGUCUGCACACCUCUCGUGAGCGCGGGUACCCAUUGUGAUGCGAGAUUGAGCCCGAGGGUGGUAUGGUUCUGAGAUAUUUCCCGAGGGGCGGAUUUGUUGAUAUUAUGUCCCAGGGGAGAACCUUUAUGUGUUUAUUUUCCUUUAAUUACCUUUCAAUUACCUGCUUAAUUGUUAAAAGGCUUUUCAUGAAGUUUAAGUUGAAUUAAAAUGACUUUCUCAUAUUUUACCGAGGUACUAUAUUUACCUGUUUUUUACUGCUUCAUUAUAGCAUGCUUUGUGACUUACAUGAUUUCUUUUUCAGCCCUUUUUUAUGAUUAUUUAUCACUGAGUUGGAGUACUCAUUUUACUCCCUGCACCCUGUGUGCAGAUUUAGGUGUAUCUGGUUCUGCUCCCGAGUGCUGAUCAUUUUCGGCUCAGGCGGAUCCGAAGAGUCUCUUGGUAGUUGUUGGCGUUCGCAACCCUAAUCUCUUCCCUAUCUUAUUUCUUCAUGUUCUUAGUUUUCUGUAUUAAACUCUGUAGUUUUCCUGAGUAUUCUGGAUUGUUUAGAUGCUCAUGACUAGUGUCACCCCGUAUAAGACUGUGUUGGGUUAUUUCCUGUGUAUUAUGCUAUUAACUUCUUAAAACUUGGUUUAUUUGAUCAUGUUUUAUACUUUUUCUUAAUGUUUAACUGUUAAAUAUUGAAAUGGGAAGUGUCGGUUGGCCUUGCCUUCACGAGAGGCGCCAUCACAAUCGGGUCCGGGUUUAGGGUCGCGAAAGUUGGUAUUAGCCUAGGUUACAUAGGUCUCACGAGUCAUGAGCAGGUUUAGUAGAGUCUUACAGAUCGGUACAGAGACGUUUGUAAUUAUACUUGAGAAGCUGCAGAACCUUUAGAAAACUUCAAAUUUUUGAAAUUCUUCUCUUGCGAAUUUGCUGAUUCGGAGUACUAAACUUAUGUUAUUCUACAUAUAAUGAGGACACGCGCUACCGGUCAGGAUGGACGACCACCUGUACAACCAGUUAUGGCCACCAAAGGCCGAGGAUACGGUCGUGGUUGUGGUAGGGGCAGAGGUGUGGCCUGUACAACAGCUAGGGUAGUGCCUUCAUAUCCACCAGCCGCCCUAGUUCAGGAUCAGGUCCUAGUUAUGGAUGCACCAAUAGCACCAACUCAGGAACCAGUUGUGCCCAUUGUGAUUCCGGGUCUUCAAGAGGCCUUGUAUCAGAUCUUAUCAGUUUGCACUGCCUAGCUCAGGUGGUUUCAACCACUACAUCCACAACUACUUCUUAGGCCAGGGGAGGCAAUCAGAAUCCCACCGCUUGCACACCGAAGCAGGUCGUGCAUGGACUUCAGAUGCCCGGGGCACAUCUAGCCCAUCCGAGUGCACCUGCUCAGGACUCUGUAGUUCCUUCCAUGCUUGAGGGCCAGUAAUCGUAAGUUGGAGAGGUUUGGUAGACUUCAGCCUCCGACCUUCAAUGGUGUAGAGGGCGAAGAUUCCUAGGGCUUGUUGGAUAAAUGUAAGAGGAUGCUUCGUACAUCGGGUAUUAUGGAGAUCAGCGGGGUCUCUUUUACUACUUAUUUGUUUUCUGGAGCUGCCUUCAAUUGUGGGAGGAUUUUGAGAGGCGUACGAUUGUUGUUGUUGCACCCCUUACCUGGCACCAGUUCUCCAUUCUCUUUCUGGAGAAGUAUGUGCCUCACUCUCGUAGAGAAAAACUGCAUAGGUAGUUUGAGUGGUUGUGUCAGGAGGAGAUGACCAUGGCGCAGUAUUGGUUGAGAUUCUCCGAGUUAGCAAGUCAUGCUACUUGGUUAGUUUUGACAGAUAGAGAGAGGAUUAGGAGGUCUGCUAAUGGCCUCACUUAUCAGCUUUGUAUUCUCAUGACCAGGGAGAGGGUGACUGGUGCUACUUUCGAGGAGGUUGUGGAUAUCGCCUGUGAGAUAGAGUCUAUCCACCACCAGGAGCGAGAGGAGAGGGAGGAAAAGAGAUCUCGAGGAUCUGGCAGUUACAAUGGUACUCCUUUGAGGGGUCAGUCUCAACACGGCAGAGGUCGUCUUUUCAGGCAUGCUGAGCCAGCUAGCCUAGAUUAUCGUAGGGCAUCAUCAGGUCAUGAUUCUCAUCGUUUGUAUUAGGGUCAGUCAUCACUCUGGUGUGAGGAGUUCUCUUCAGUCUCCUUCUCUAGCCCCUGAGAAUUGUCAUGAGUGUGGAGAUAUGGGUCAUAUGUCGAGGCAGUACCCUCGUCAUCUUGCGAGUUUAUCUCAGCAAAGGGGUCUGUCAUUGACUUCAGCACUAGUUGCUUCAUCCUCACCUGCCCAGCUAGCUAGGGGGGAGGUUAGUCAGAGGGGUCACCCCAGAGGGAGAGGUCGAUCAAGUGGCAGUCAGACCUGUUUUUACACACUUCUAGUUAGACCCGAUGCUAUUGCUUCAGAUGGUAUUUUUAUAGGUAUUGUUUCAUCCUGCCACAGAGAUGCCCCUAUAUUAUUUGAUCCUGGUUCCACCUUUUCUUAUGUGACAUCAUAAGUUGCUCGUUAUUUGGGUAUGCCCCCGUGAGUCUCUUGCUUCACAUGUUUAUAUAUCUACCCCGGUGGGGGAUACUGUUAUUGUAGACCAAGUGUACUAAUCGUGUGUGGUGACUAUUAGGGUCUGGAGACCCGAGUGGAUCUUUUAUUAUUGUGUAUGGUGGAUUUCAAUGUCAUUUUGGCAUGGAUUGGCUAUCUCCAUGUCAUGCUAUUCUGGACUUCCAUGCUAAGAAAGUCACAUUGGCUAUACUAGGUAUACCACAGAUUGAGUGGUGAGGUGUGAUGAAUUAUGUCCUAGUAGAAUGAUCUCAUUCUUGAAGGCCCAGCGUAUGGUUGGGAAGGGUUGUCUUUCGUAUCUAGUGUUUGUGAGGGAUAGCGGUGUUAUGACUCCCAGUAUUGAUUCUGUUCUAGUUGUGAGAGAUUUUCCAGAUGUGUUUCCUGCAGACCUGCUGGGCAUGCCACCGGACAUGGAUAUUAAUUUUGAUAUUGAUCUGGUGUGGGGCACUCAUCCCAUUUCUAUUUCGCUGUAUCGUGUGGCACAACGGAGUUGAAGGAUUGAAGGAGCAGCUUUAGGAACUCCUUCAAAAGGGGUUCUUCGGUCUGGUGUGUCACUUUGGGGCGCGCUAGUUCUAUUUGUGAAGAAAAAGGAUGACACAUUGAGGAUGUGCAUUGAUUAUAGGUAUUUGAACAAGGUAACGGUUAAGAACAAGUAUCCUUUGCCCCGCAUUCAUGAUUUAUUCGACCAGCUUUAGGGAGCGAGAGUGUUUUCCAAGAUUGAUCUGCGUUCAAGUUAUCACCAGUUGAAAAUCAGGGACUUAGGUAUUCUUAGGAUGGCUUUUACGACCCGAUAUAGUCCUUAUAAUAUCGUGAUAAUGUCUUUUGGACUGACCAAUGCUCCAUCAACAUUCAUGCAUUUGAUGAACAACGUAUUAUGGCCUUAUCUCGACUCGUUUGUCAUAGUUUUCAUUGAUGAUAUUCUAGUGUAUUCGCGUAGUCAGGAGGAGCACGCAUAGCAUUUGAUAGUUGUGUUGCCGAGAUUGUGGGUGGAGAAGCUUUAUGCAAAAUUCUCUAAGUGUGAGUUUUGAAUCAGUCUAGAGGCUUUCUUGGGACACGUGGUGUCCAGUGAGGGUAUUAAGGUUGAUCCGAAGAAGAUAGAGGUGGUUCAGAGUUGGCUCGGACCGUCCUCAGCUAUGGCGAUUCACAACUUUCUUGGUUUGGCAGGCUUUUAUCAACGGUUUUUUCAGGGAUUCUCAUAUAUUGUAUCGCACUUGACCAAGUUGACUCAGAAGGGCGCUUCAUUUGUAUGGUUGGAUGAGUGUAACGAGAGCUUUUAGAAGCUCAAGACAACUUUGACCACAACUCCAGUGUUAGUUUUGUCAUCAGCUUCAGGUUCAUAUACCGUGUAUUGUGAUGCUUCAAGAGUUGGUAUUGGUUGUGUAUUGAUGCAUAAGGGUAUAGUUUUUGCUUAUUCUUCCCGUCAGUUGAAGCCCCAUGAAAAGAACUACCUCGUUCAUGAUUUGGAGUUGGCUGCCAUAGUUCACAUUGAAUAUUUGGAGGCAUUAUUUUUAUGGUGUGUCUUGGGAGGUGUUUACUGAUCAUCAUAGCCUCCAACACUUGUUCAAACAGAAAGAUCUCAAUUUGAGGGAGUGGAGGGGGUUGGAGUUGCUUAAGGAUUAUGAUAUUACCAUAUUGUACCAUCCGGGAAAGGGCAACUUGGUGGCCGAUGCUUUCAGCUGAAAGGAGGUGAGUAUGGGAAGUUUGGAAUAUAUUUCAGUAGGGGAGAGACCUUUUUCAGUUGAGGUUCAGGCCUUGGACAAUCGGUUCGUGAGGUUAGACAUUUCGGAGCCCAGUUGGGUAUGAUCAAAUUAGAGAGCGCCAGUAUGCUGAUCCACAUUUGCUUGUCAAGGAAAAAGUUUAGCAUGAUGAUGCCAGAGAUGUGACCAUUGGUGAUGAUGGGGUGUUGAGGAUGCAGGGCCAUAUUUGUGUGCCUAAUGUGGAUGGGCUUCGGGAGUUGAUUCUGGAAGAGGCCCAUAGCUCGCGGUAUUCCAUUCAUGCGGGUGCCACAAAGAUGUAUCAGGAUUUGGGGCAUCACUAUUGGUGGAGAAGAAUGAAGAAAGAUAUUGUGGAAUUGUAGCUCGGUGUCUCAAUUGUCAGUAGGUGAAAUAUGAGCAUCAGAGACCGGGUGGCUUGCUUCAGUGGAUGGAUAUUCCACAGUGGAAGGGGGAGAUCAUCACUAUGAACUAUAUAGUUGGACUCCCACAGACUUUGAAGAAGUUCGAUGCUAUUUGGGUGAUUGUGGAUCGGCAGACUAAGUCCGUGCACUUCAUUCAUGUGUGUACUACCUAUUAUUCAGAGCGACUUGCAGAGAUCUAUAUUCGGGAGAUUGUUCAUUUGCAUGGUUUCCCAGUUUCCAUCAUUUCAGAUAGGGGCACUCAGUUUACUUCGCAGCUUUGGAGGUCUGGGAAGCGAGAGUAGGGUACUGAGGUUGAGUUGAGCACAACUUUUUACCUUUAGACGGAUGGGCAGUGUGAGCGCACUGUUCAGAUAUUGGAGGACCUGUUGUGUUCUUGUGUCAUUGAUUUUGGAGGGUCGUGGGAUCAUUUUCUACCGCUUGCAAAAUUUGCUUAUAACAACAGCUACCAGUCGAGUAUUCAGAUGGCUCCAUAUAAGGCUUUGUAUGGGAGGCUGUGUAGAUCUCUAGUUGGUUGGUUUGAUCCUAGUGAGGCUAGGCAUUGGGGACAUAUUUGGUGCAAUAUGUGGUAGAAAAGGUCAAGGUGAAUCAGGAGAGGCUUCAUACAGCGCAGCUGAGGCAAAAGAGUUAUGUUGACAAGAAGGUUAGAGAUUUGUCCUACAUGGUUGGUGAGAAGGUUCUAUUGAAGUUUUCACCUAUGAAGAGUGUUAUGAGAUAUGGGAAGAAAGGUAAAUUGAUUCCGCAGUUCAUUGGGCCUUUUGAGGUGCUUCGAAGGAUUAGGGAUGUGGCUUACUUGCCGCCCAGCUUGUCAAGCGUGUAUCCGGUGUUUCAUGUUUCUAUGCUCGGAAGUAUAUUCGGGAUCCAUCUCAUAUUCUUUAUUUCAGCACGGUCAGUUGGAUGAUGAUUUGAGCUAUGAUGUGGAGCCAGUAGCUAUUUUGGGUCGGCAAGUUCGAAAGUUGAGGUCAAAGGAUAUAGCCUCAGUGAAAGUGCAGUGGAGAUAUCGGUCCAUGGAGGAGGCUACCUGGGAGACCAAGCGGGAGAUGCAGAGCUGAUAUCCUCACUUGUUUGAGGAUUCAGAUAUGUUUCUUGACUCAUUCAAGGAUGAACGUUUAUUUAAGCUGGGGAGGAUAUGACGACCCAGCCAGUCGUCUCAUGAGUUACCUCUCCGGUUAUCCCCUUCCUACUUCUUUAUGCUUUGUUAUCUGUGUUGUAUGAUAUCGGGUUGGUCGGAUCGAAUCCGGAAUGAUUUUGGUAAGGCUUGAGACACUUAGUCUCUUUAGGGUGAGUUUAGGUUAGAAAAGUCAACCGAAUAUUGACUUGUGUGUUAGAGGGAUCGGAUGUGAGUUUCGAUGGUUCAAUUAGCUUUGUGAGGUUAUUUGGGACUUAGGAGUGUGAUUGGAACGCAUUUUGGAGGUUCGGAAUAGAUUUAGACCUGAAUUGGUGAAGUUGAUAUUUUGGCAAUUUCUGAUUGGUAGACGAGAUUUUGAUAUAGAGGUCGGAAUGGAAUUUCGAGAGUUGCAAUAGUUCCAUUGUAUUAUUUGGGAUGUGUGUGCAAAAUUUCAGGUUAUUCGGGCAUGGUUUUGGUUGGUUUUUUUAUCAAAAGUGGAAUUCGGAAGAUUUUAGAAAGUUUGGCUUGAAUCCGAUGUAUUUUGGAAGAUUUAAUGUUGUUGGAGGUGUUUUGAAGAUUGGUGCAAGUUUGAAUAAGGUUAUGGGAUAGCUUGGUGCUUUUGAUUGAGGUCCCGGGGUCCUCGAGUGAGUUUCGGGUGGUCAAUCGGGCCAUUUCAUGAAGUUUAUUGUUGCAGAUUUCGAGGUCCAGCUCGUGAUCGCGUAAGGAGUCUCGCGAUCGCGUAUAAGCUUUUGAGGUGGCGGUCACGUUUUUCUCCGCAUUCGCAAAGGUAGAGUUUCAAUCGCAAAAGGUGGAGAAGUUGUUGAUUGCGACCACAUGGUAAGGUUCGCGUUCACGUAGAGUUCAGUGGACCAAGGGUUUUGGCUUGAAGUUUGUUCUUUGCAGACGCAGUACCCCAUCCACGAUCGUGUAGUAUAAGAGGUUUGAGCAUCGCGUUCAUGUGGGAUUUUAUGCGAUCGCAUAGGGUUAGUUUUGGGUGCUGAAAAUUUGUGCUUCGCGAUCACGGUGUAUGUCCCACGACAGAGAUGAAGGAUUUCAGGCCUAGGCAGAAGGUUUAAAUAGUCCUCUUGUUCGCGAUUUUAGGAUUUAUUUCUUCCAUUGUAAGUCGAUUUUUGAAGAUGAUUGAAGAUGGAUUCAAGGGGAAUUAGUGGAGGUAAGAUUCUUGGACUUAAAACACGAUUUUAAUGUGAAUUCCAUCUAAAUAAUCAUGGAAAUUAAGCGAAAAAUAGAAGAACUAGGGCUUGGAAGCUUAGACCUUUGAUUGAGGAUUUGAAGGACCAUUUGAGAUCAGAUUUCAGAACUUUUGAUAUGUAUGAACUCGUGGGGUGAUAAGGAAUCCACUGAUGUAAAAGUUAUUGAAUUCCGAGACAUAGUACUGGGGGUCAGGUUUUGGUAAUUUCGGGAUUUGUGUCGUGUUUUGAAUAUUUUCACUUGGGCUUCGUUCCCUUAGCAUAUUUUGACGUCCUCAUUCUGAUUUUGGAUAGAUUCAAUGUGUGUGGAGGCCGAUUCGAGGGGCAAAGGUGUCGCAAGCUAGAGAUUUGACCGGUUCGAGGUGAGUAAUGAUUGUAAAUGAUGUUCUGAGAGUUUGAAACACUAGAUUCGCACAUUGUUAUGCUAUAUUGAGGUUGCCCACACGCUUGGAGACAAGCGUGGGGUCGUGCACUAUUGGGGAUUAUGACUUAGUCCGUCCUGAAUGACUAUUUUACCGCGUAUUUGACUUAAAUCUAUUUGCUAUUAUCAUUAUUUAGGUUGAAUGCCAUAUUUGGGCCUCGUGCCAACUAUUUGAACCCUUUGAGAAUUUACGCAAAUUAUGCUAUUAACUUCUUAAACCUUGGUUUAUUUGAUGAUUCUUUAUCCUUUUUUAAUGUUUAACUGUUAAAUACUGAAAUGGGAAGUGUCUGUUAGCCUUGUCUUCACGAGAGGUACCAUCACGACCGGGUCUGUGUUUAGGGUCAUGACACUAAUAAAAAUUUUGGUAAGUGAAUUCUUUCGAAGGGAUUUUCUUCUCUUUUCUUUGGAUGGUUGAUACAUAUCGUUUCUUAAUGUAUUUUAUUAUAUCAUUUGAUAAAAAUAAUAUUUGGAUAGAUUGUGUCGUUUGCUGUCGUUUUAUGAUAUCACACACCAGCAGUAUGAAAAAUAAACUUGUAAAUAUUAUAUUAAACAAAUUUAUGAUACGGUAUAUAAAAAGGUAAGGUAAAUGAUAAAAUAAAGUUAUUUAUUAAUAAUAAAGGGUGAUUGAGAGAAAAAGACAAGGUAAUGGCGCAACCACAUUAAAUCGGUCGUUACAUAAAGUGGCAUAUUUCUUCAUUACGUAGUGACGGAUUUAAUAAUACGAUACAUUAAAAUUUAAGUAACAAUAAAAACAAACAUCGCAUUUAAAGUAUAAAUACGAUACAAUACAAUAGGGAACAACCAUCCAAACAAGCAAUAAAACUCAUUCAUUAUGCAAAUCACCUUAAAUUACUAUAAAGAAAUUUUUACCUCCUAUAGCAAAGGUUAACAUCUUAUUUAUUUUAAAUAAAUACCAUUUAAGAAAAUUAUAUUCUAUGUAUACCUUUUAAGAUUUAUAGCAAAAUAUUUAAUUUUAGUUACCUCCUAGCCCAAAACCACUAAAUACGCUAUUUAGUUACACUAUUUUCUUUCUCUCUCUACUUUGAUACACCUCAUUCUCUUCUCUCAUUCUCUGAAAACACGAUGCUCAAUCUCAAAAUUCCUUUCACCCAUACUAUUUUCUUUUCUUCUCGGAACCAAACAAAAAAUCGCUCCCGCUGGCGGAUAUGCAUGAAUUAGGCCGGAAAGCAUUUUUUGUCUUCCAUAUGCCAGUUUGCAUUUGUUUAUUAUCACGCAAGUCAAAUCAACAUUUUGAACUAAAAUAUUUUCCUUCGUUACCCACUUUUGUCCAUCUCUGUUGGUCCCUAACUACUUUUUCUUUUUCUUUCUUUUAUCUUAAUACUAGUAAAGAGAAGUGACCUGAAUCUUAGAAUAUUAUCUCCAUUUUUUUAACGGCCGCUGAUUCGUCGGAAAUUAGAAUUUGUUCUUGAAUAAAGACGACGGAGUUUUGACUGAGCAAGUUGAAUUUUCUGUUAGUAUAUUUCAAUGUAUCACAUUAUAUUUUUAAAUAUUUCAUUAUAUUCAUUGUCUUUUUUUCAUUGUAAUUAAAUUUAUCUCAUUGUAUGUCAUAUAUUUCAUGUAUUUCACUGUAUCCACUAUCUUUUUUUCUAUUGUAUUUUAAUGUAUCCCGCAGUAUUUUAUGUAUUUCAUUGCAUUCAGUGUCUCUCUAUAUGACAUGAAUGCAUUCAUAUGUUUUUUUAAUUAAUAUAAUUUAUAAUUUCUCUGAUGUUUUUGGGGGUAUUUUUCGGUUGACAGUCAUUAUAUUGAAAAUAUAAAAAAUUAUGUGUUACAAUUGAGUUUGUUGAGUUAUAUUAGGAGUCUAUUAUGUUAAUUGAUCACUUUCCAUUUUAAAAAUAGUGUAAUUCCCUAUUUCACACCCUGGAUACAGUCGAAUAGGGUCAAUUACAAUAAUCUGUCCAGCUGUACUUCCAUGUUCCACUCCAUGAAUACAAUCGAAUACAACAACUGAUUAGCUGGACUUUCCUGAUUCAUGCCUAUUUUUGCUCAGCUUAAAUACAUCAAAUACAUCUUAUUACUACAAAAAAGAUAUCUAUAAUUCGUAAUAUAGCCAAUACUAUCUAUAGAUGGCUAAUUACUACUAAAAGAUAGUAUUUUAUGAAAAUUUCUCUACUAUAAAUCAAACCAAACAUCACUAAUGGGAAAAAGAAAAAGGACUGCUGGAGAAAAAAAUAGGACUAGAGUAUUUAAAUGGACGUUUCUUGAGAAAAACUUUCCCAAAGUAAUAUCUUCCACUUUUUUGCAAAAAGAGAAGUUGUUUUUAAAAAAAAAUAAAUUCAUCGCUAUUUUCGGGGUAAAGCUGAUAUUUAAAUCCACACUCCAAAAUAACGUUCCCUCUCUAUCACCCUUCGGGAGUUGAUUNNNNNNNNNNNNNNNNNNNNNNNNNNNNNNNNNNNNNNNNNNNNNNNNNNNNNNNNNNNNNNNNNNNNNNNNNNNNNNNNNNNNNNNNNNNNNNNNNNNNNNNNNNNNNNNNNNNNNNNNNNNNNNNNNNNNNNNNNNNNNNNNNNNNNNNNNNNNNNNNNNNNNNNNNNNNNNNNNNNNNNNNNNNNNNNNNNNNNNNNNNNNNNNNNNNNNNNNNNNNNNNNNNNNNNNNNNNNNNNNNNNNNNNNNNNNNNNNNNNNNNNNNNNNNNNNNNNNNNNNNNNNNNNNNNNNNNNNNNNNNNNNNNNNNNNNNNNNNNNNNNNNNNNNNNNNNNNNNNNNNNNNNNNNNNNNNNNNNNNNNNNUUAUAGGUCCCAACUAGGAGUGGCGAGCGGGCGGGUCGGUCGGAGUCGAAAACGGAUAAUGAAAAAUGGAUAAAUUAUCCGAUCCGAUCCAUAUUUAAUACGGAUAAAAAACGGGUUAAUCGACGGAUAAUAUGACCCAUAUUAUCCAUCAUUUCUUACAUAUGAUCAGUUCUAGGAGAAUUCCUAGUCUCUCUAACUUGAGGAACCCCCAAUUUUUUAGGCUAUACAAAUGUAAAAAUUAGACCUAUUAGUUAUCCACUUUUUUAAAUGGAUAAUAUGGUUCUUAUCCAUAUUUGGCCCUUUUAAAAAAGUUCAUUAUCCAACACAUUUUUAGUGGAUAAUAUGGGUGGUUAACUGUGUCUUUUAAUCAUUUUGCCACCCCUAGUCCAAACCAUCCCCCAACACUUUCUCUAAAUAGCCAAAAGUCACUCUCCUUUCUACGGUGUAUCUAUCUCAAAAUUAAGGUUGCGAGCAUGUGAUUAUUAGUUGUGCAUGGAUCGGAUCAGAUCAGAUCGUAUUUAGCACAUUUCGGAUUUGUCAUAACCCAAACCCGAUCUUGAUGGCACCCAACCCGAAAGCUAGGCCAGCCUGGCCAACAAUCGCUCUGAAUUCAAUAAUAAAUUUUUAAAACCGACAAUUUAAGAUAAAAUAAUAUAGUUUUAGAAUAACAAUCCAAUUCUUAUAAUAAAAUAAUACGGAGAGAUACGAAAUAUGAUAAAAUAUUCCCAAAAAAUCUGGGGUCACGAGUCUAGAACCUCUAAAAUAAACUGGAUAAUAAUAUCUGAACGAAAAUACACAAGUCUAGAAAUGUAUUUAUAGAUAACUGAAAUAGGAAGAGUAGUUAGGUCUUGCGAACAUCAAGCAACUACCUCAACAACUCUGAUAAUCUCUGGAGACAACGAUUGCUCAGAUAAGCUUCCGGUAUACCUGAAUCUGCACACAAGGUGCAGGGAGUAGGGGUGAGUACUACCGACUCACUUAGUAAUAAGCAUAUAAAAUGUCUGAAGAUAAUAAAUCCACGAAAUGCCACAAAGUAAUGCUAAUACUAACAGUCCGACACCUUAACUGCGCACCAAGAACAAAACAAUAUCAAGUAUAUCAGACAUGUCACGACCCAAACCCCGGUUAUGAUGGCGCCAAACACCUUGUUAGGAAAGCCCGGCCAUUUAAACAUUUCCAGCCAAAUCAUUAACUUAAAUACCAUUUUUAGCUUAAAAUUCUCAAUUUGAUAACAAUAUAAAUACUACGGAUAACGUAAUCAACAGUAAUAACAGCCUAAAGGAUCCGGCGUCACAAGUCAGAGCCUCUAGAUACAAUAGAACAGUAUCCUAUACAAAGGAAAUCUAGAUGCAAAAAUAAAAGAUAGAUAAGAGGAGAGAUCAGGUCCUGCGGACGCCACCAGCUACCUUGAAAACUCUGGUAUUGAACCAGGCAACAGCAGAUAAGCACAGCUAAGCCUCCGGGAUUAUCUGCACACAAGGUGCAGGGAGUAGAGUGAAUAGUUCCAGCUAAGGGAGUAAUAGCAAUAAAUAACAACUGAGUGUAAGAAAUCUGGUAAGAAAAUUAUACAGUCCUAAUAUCAACAGUAGCGACAGUGAAUAAUGCUAAACAGGGGAGAGAAUCUGAUAAAUACUUCUCUUUCCGUCUGACUAGUUACUAACACUACUGCGGCGUGCAGCCCGAUCCAAUACCAUGUAUAUAAUGUUGUGGCAUGCAGCCCGAUCCAGUAUAAUAUAUAUAAUGCUGCGGCGCACAGCCCGAUCCAAUAUAAUAUAUAUAAUGCUUCGACGUGCAGCCCAAUCCAAUAUAUAGUCGACUGCGCUCACUAUGGGUGUGUACAAACUCCGGAGGGGUUCCUUCAGCCCAAGCGCUAUAAUACUGCGGCGUGCAGUCCGAUCUAUAUAAUAUAUAUAAGGCUAUAUCCACCGCCUCCUCAAAAGUGUGACUCAGGACCUUUUUACGAGUCAUCAGAAUACAGAUGGGAUAAAUGAGUCUGUCCACAAAUCGUCUAAUCCUCUCCUGAUCACUCGGAACCAUCCACAGAGCAUAAUGAGCUAACUCUGCAAAUCUAACCUCAUACUGCGUCACAGACAUACCCCCCAGACGAAGCCACUCAAACUGCCUGCGUAACUCCUCCCUCUGCGACCGAGGUAUCCACUUCUGCAGAAAGAUAGUGGAGAACUUCUUCCAAGAUUACGGUGUUGCACCUGCCGGCCUACACUGCUCAUAUGCCUCCCACCAUGUAAAGGUUGUUCCUGAAAACAGAAAAGUGGUAAAAGAUACCCCACUAGUCUCCAGGAUCUCUGCUGUCGGGAACAUGCGUCGAUACAUUUCGAGAAACCCCUGGGCAUCCUCGCCCGGAACAGCGCUGAAAGUAGGAGGUGAAAGCCUGUUAAACCUCUCAAGAUGACGCUGCUCGUCAUAUGGAAUCACUGGUACCCCAUCACCCUGAAUUGGAACAACUGGCUGAACAGGGCCAACUGGCUGAACUGGUGGUGUCUCUGGGGUCCGCAAACCCUGUACACCUUGCUCUGGAGUGCGAGAUGCGGCAUUCUGAUGACCACCCCCGGUCUGAGAUGUAGUUGCGGUAGCCAAGACUGCCUGAGCCAGGCCAGUGCAAACCCAUAAAAUCUGAGCCAGGGCCUCCUGAAGAUCUGGUAUUAGAAUAACCACUGCUGGUAUCGGAGCAGGUGCUAGUGGAACCUCUACAGCUAGAGGCUGAUCCUGAAUGGGGGCAACUGGUAGGUCAACUGGUGCUGCCCCUGCUGCUCUGCCUCGACCACGGCCGCGUCCCCAGCCUCUAGUGUGUGGCAAUGGUGGUCGUCCAGUUCGCCCGGUAGCACACGUUCUCACCAUCUGCGAGAGUAUAGAAUACAAAAGUUUAGUUCUCGGAUCACCAAAGUCGCACGACAAGAAUUUCAAGAAUAUGAAGUUUUUCCUAAAGGUUCUGCAGCCUCU
rnacentral:lncRNA from 1 species